rnacentral:rRNA from 1 species
GAUGAACGCUGGCGGCGUGCCUAAUACAUGCAAGUCGAGCGAAGCGGGGACGGGUGAGUAACACGUGGAUAACCUCCUAUAAGACUGGGAUACAUUCGGGAACACGGAGUUAAACCCGGUACUUAUAGAUGGAUCCUCGCUGCAAUAGGUAGUUGGUAAGGUAACGGCUGACCAAGGCAACGAUGCAUAGCCGACCUGAGAGGGUGAUCGGCCAAACUGGAACUGAGACACGGUCCAGACUCCUACGGGAGGCAGCAGUAGGGAAUCUUCCGCAAUGGGCGAAAGCCGGACGGAGCAACGCCGCGUGAGUGAUGAAGGUCUUCGGAUCGUAAAGCUCUGUUAUUAGGGAAGCGGUACCUAAACAGAAAGCCACGGCUAACUACGUGCCAGCAGCCGCGGUAAUUC